rnacentral:lncRNA from 1 species
CUGGGUUCUCCAAGGGCAGCAUUCAUAGGCAUUCUUAGCACAAGCUCAAACUUCUCAGCUCCUUCUAACACCGGUUGUCCAAGGUCAUCCAGAAUUACUACACGAAAUGUCUGCAUACUGACUCCAGGGGCAAAAUCCAAAUUACGACUGAUACCUACAUAAUCUACUCCAGCUUCUGCAGUUCUCGAUUCAGAUUUGCGAGACCUCACUGUUACAGACGCAGCUUUAGACAGAUCAGUUCCUGUCCUCCAAACAUGUACCUCAACAUAGCCGGCACUCUCAUCAACAUAGUAUUCAUCAUUUCCAAAGUAGAAUGCUGGUUCAUCAUCCUUGUCAGGUACAAUGGUAAUUCGAGUGCUUGCAAAUUCUGUACCAAUUCUUCCACCCAUUGGCAUACUCAGCAAAACAUCAAAGGUCUCAGCCUCUUCAUACAAGGAAUCAUCUAUGAUCACCACUCGACAUGUUUUUU